rnacentral:tRNA from 1 species
AGGCGCGUAGCUCAGUGGGAGAGCACCUGCUUGACGUGCAGGGGGUCGACAGUUCAAUCCUGUCCGCGCCUACCA